AAACAUUUCUGCAUAGUGUCCGGGAUCUUCUAAGCAUCCAUUCGAAUUCUCAAUCAGCAUUACCGACAUAUGUAUCAGCACAUGGUAUAGUUCAGCAGAUAUCAGGAUUGCAGUCUGACUUGCUGUCUCUUCAGUUUGAACUCGAAAACUCUCUUCCAGAAGACCGAAGAAGAUGUAUCAAUGAACUAUGCACCCUUAUUCAGACCCUGGAGCAGUUAUUGUUCUCGUCAUUAACGACAGCAAAACCAUUGUUAACACCUAGG